AACAAGAGCAGCGCAAGAAUCGGACGAAGGGACCUGGUGCUGAGGAGCAGCGAGCUCGCCACGCUCGCCGCCAUCCUCCACUUCAGUGGCACAAAGCCGAGCUACCUUGGCGUGCAGAAGAGGCCCCCAUCCCUUGCGCUGUGCCCGGCGACCAACAACUGCGUGUCCACGUCGGAGAGGAUAAGCGACUCCAAUCACUACGCUCCCCCAUGGAAUUACAAUCCCAAGGAUGGCCCCAGAGGUAAACCCAUAAGCAAAGAUGAGGCCAUGAAAGAGCUCAUUGAAGUUGUGACCAAGACAAAGCCAGACAACUUCAGUCCUCGUGUGGUAGAGAAAGGAGAUGACUAUGUUCGAGUUGAAUACGAGAGCCCUAUAUUCGGGUUUGUAGAUGACGUCGAGUUCUGGUUCCCUCCUGGCAACAAAUCAAUCGUUCAGUACCGAUCGGCGUCUCGGUCAGGAUUCAUCGACUUUAAUGCUAACAAGAAGAGAGUAAAGGCACUGAGAUUGGCACUGGAAAAGAAGGGCUGGGCUUCAGAAAGCACCUUUGAAUAUGAAUCAGCAUAG
rnacentral:rRNA from 1 species